rnacentral:rRNA from 1 species
GACGAACGCUGGCGGCGUGCUUAACACAUGCAAGUCGAACGGAAAGGCCCUGCUUUUGUGGGGUGCUCGAGUGGCGAACGGGUGAGUAACACGUGAGUAACCUGCCCUUGACUUUGGGAUAACUUCAGGAAACUGGGGCUAAUACCGGAUAGGAGCUCCUGCUGCAUGGUGGGGGUUGGAAAGUUUCGGCGGUUGGGGAUGGACUCGCGGCUUAUCAGCUUGUUGGUGGGGUAGUGGCUUACCAAGGCUUUGACGGGUAGCCGGCCUGAGAGGGUGACCGGCCACAUUGGGACUGAGAUACGGCCCAGACUCCUACGGGAGACAGCAGUGGGGAAUAUUGCACAAUGGGCGGAAGCCUGAUGCAGCAACGCCGCGUGUGGGAUGACGGCCUUCGGGUUGUAAACCGCUUUCGCCUGUGACGAAGCGUGAGUGACGGUAAUGGGUAAAGAAGCACCGGCUAACUACGUG